rnacentral:rRNA from 1 species
GGCGGGAACACCCGCCGAGCUUAAGCAUAUCAAUAAGCGGAGGAGAAGAAACUUACGAGGAUUCCCCUAGUAACGGCGAGCGAACCGGGACCAGCCCAGCUUGAGAAUCGGGGGCCCGUGCCUCUCGAAUUGUAGUCUGGAGAAGCGUCCUCAGCGACGGACCGGGCCCAAGUCCCCUGGAAAGGGGCGCCGGGGAGGGUGAGAGCCCCGUCCGGCCCGGACCCUGCCGCACCACGAGGCGCUGUCGGCGAGUCGGGUUGUUUGGGAGUGCAGCCCCAAUCGGGCGGUAAAUU